rnacentral:lncRNA from 1 species
GAUGAUGAUGAUGAUGAAAUUCUUAAAAGAGAUAUAGGACUUAGCUUGUAUUUUCUUAACUUGGAGAAAUGCUUUGGAAUCGAGGUAGGAGUUUCUUGGUGACCUUUUAUAAAGAUUGAUCUAAUUAAAUCUCGUGAGCACUAUAUCAUGCAUCAUAUUAUUAUUUGAUUAUUAUGGAUAUUGGGUGUUUAAGUGUUGUUAAUUAUCAUCAUAUUAUUUUAUUAAUAUUGACAUAAUCAUAUGUUAUCGGUGAUGGCUGGAAUUCUUGGGUUGAUAAAGAAAGUAUGGAAAAGGGGGUAAUGGGAAGGAUCUUUUGUGUAGUUGAGUCUAACUCUUGGCAGGUACCAGGUCUCAAAGAUCCCGUAGUUCACAUGGUUUUUAUUCGGUGAUUCAGGACUGGCGACAGGGAGUUAGACAAGAUGACUAACGAAAGGGGAAUUAUGGGAUGAUUGAAAUGGGUGUUAGUUCAUAUAAAUGGGCAUUCGGGACCAAGUUGUAUAAGCAUGUAUGGGACGUGCAGGUCUGCUUGUGCAGUUAUAUGAAUUAACGGGAGUAGAUGAAGAGUAUUCAUUCAUGCAUUAUUAUUAAUAAUGUGAUAUUUGGCUGUGUGAUUGCAUGUCACUUAAUUUAGUUAUAUCAAUCUACUGUGGUAAGGUCUCAUGUCCCUACUGAGCGGUGGUUGUUCAUCCCUCACCCUGUUUAAUUUUUCAGAUGAAUUAGUAGGCAAGACAAGGACUAAACUAGUUGAGGCUGAAUUAGAUGAGAGUGAUAGAGCUUUAUUUUUUUAAUUUUAAAGUUGUAAGAUUUUGGGAGCUAUUUUUAUAAGAAAAGUUUAUUUUAUGUUUCGG